rnacentral:lncRNA from 1 species
AUGCACUUGAACUGUAUGAGUCUAUCUAAUCUAGGAACCCUACCGUCCCCUCUCUGACAAACUCCACAAUUAGCAUAUGGUAAACCUUUUGGUAGACCAAGGAUUAUAAAUUUUUUUUUUCAACGUUUAUUUAUUUUUGGGACAGAGAGAGACAGAGCAUGAACGGGGGAGGGGCAGAGAGAGAGGGAGACACAGAAUCGGAAACAGGCUCCAGGCUCCGAGCCAUCAGCCCAGAGCCCGACGCGGGGCUCGAACUCACAGACCGCGAGAUCGUGACCUGGCUGAAGUCGGACGCUUAACCAACUGCGCCACCCAGGCGCCCCGCAGACCAAGGAUUAUAAACAUCUGAUUAUCAACAUCUCUGGUUCCGAAAUUCUUUGCGUGAUGUAUGGCUUGCAGAGAAAGCCAAAAUAACCCGUAGGCUUCGAGUACAAUGGGAAAAAAAAAUCCCUUAGUGAGUUAUUUUACAUCUUCGUCAAGAAAAAACUUUGAUCGCUCUAAAAGAGCGUCCAUAUAUUGAACAGUGAAAACAACUAUUUGUGGGUAAAAUGAAAUAUACCAGGAUACUGAUAAUUGCCUAACAACUAAAAAUUACUGUACCGUAUGCAUGCGCCCAAAGCACUUAAGAGGCAGAACCUUAUUUUGUCUGUUCCCAGCUGGUCAGCUGAGUCACCCGAGGAGGUAGGAGUGCAAGACACUGCCGGGAAGAUGGAUUCCGAGGCAGAACGAGUGUCCUCUCGUCCCAGACUGAAAAGCGCAAAUGACCUUCGCACGCGGGAAGGGGUUAUACACGAGCCCCAACUCGGCACCGGCGGCGGCGAACAAGUGUCCGCCCUGUGGUUCAAGCACCAAGACCGCCCCAACAAGCGCGCGCUGGCCGGUGGGGACGGAUUCUGGAGUCCUCCCAAGGCUCCACGCCCCGCAUUCUCCGACGCCGCCCCCCUCCCCAGUUCUCCCCUGCUUCCACUCUGUGUGAUGUGGGAGGAAAAUAAAAGUUUACUGCUCUCCAGGAGACACUGUCACUUUGUACUCCCUUAA